GAUGAACGCUGGCGGCGUGCAUAACACAUUCAAGUCGAACGAAGUAAUGAGGUGCUUGCACCGAGUUACUUAGUGGCGGACGGGUGAGUAACGCGUGAGCAACCUGCCUUUCAGAGGGGGACAACAGUUGGAAACGACUGCUAAUACCGCAUAAUGUAUCGGAACCGCAUGGCUCUGAUACCAAAGAUUAUAUCGCUGAAAGAUGGGCUCGCGUACGAUUAGAUAGUUGGUGAGGUAACGGCUCACCAAGUCGACGAUCGUUAGCCGGACUGAGAGGUUGACCGGCCACAUUGGGACUGAGAUACGGCCCAGACUCCUACGGGAGGCAGCAGUGGGGAAUAUUGGGCAAUGGGCGAAAGCCUGACCCAGCAACGCCGCGUGAAGGAAGAAGGGCCUUCGGGUU
rnacentral:rRNA from 1 species